rnacentral:snRNA from 1 species
UACAGCUCUUUUAGACCUUGUUUAGCAAGUUUUUUGGUCAGCACUGGAA